AUGUCUCAGAUCUCUAUUCUCCCACCCUCAGCCCUCUCUUCUGAACUCCAGACCACUGGAUCCAGCUGUCUAUUGAAUAUCUAUCUAUACCUCAAACUCAAAGUGAGUGAAGUCAAGUCCCCCUGCCCCCCACUCCACUCCAGAUCAGCUCCCCCUCCCCAGAUUCCCUCUUCCACAGAACAGUACCGACAUCUUCCAGCUGCCAAGAACAGGAUGAGAAAACACAGGGAAAACAAUGUUGGAAAGAGUGCCCUGAGCCUUCCCAUGGCGACUUGCAGUCGCAGCUAUGAGCAGCGAUACGGGAUGCCCUCAGGAGCCCUGGACAGAGGGAGGAUCCCCCACAAGCCCACAGGAGGCCAAUAACAGAUCUACCGCUGUGCUGCCCUUACUGUGCCGACAGUGAGGCCUCCUGUUAAAAUGGAAACUUCUGAGUGGGAAACACAGUAAGACAUCGUGGUCCAUGACCUUGGAGUGAGAAUUGAUUUCUUGGAUUAACAGCAGGUAUUUGGCAAGGCCCCGGGGUGGGAGUGGUCCUGGUUUGAGAAGCAAUGAGGGGGAGGGAAGGACAGGCCUUGGCCUUGGGGCUGCCUCAGGUGCAGACAGGCAGGGACUCAGACUAUCCCCGUGGAUUUAGUAGUUUAGGAGGUGCCACAGGGAGGGUGGCUGAGGGGUGAACUCCCGUUGUCAUCACUGGGAACGCUCUGGGAUCCCGGGGCCAGAGAGGAGGUCACGCAGGUGGGUACAUGGGGCAAAGGCUUCCAUGCUGAUCGAGGGCCAUGAGCCCUUGCUUCCCUCGAGAUAACAUCCCGGUGGCUCAGCCUUGUCCCCGAGGCCCCCUCUCGCUCUGCAUGGCAGCCUGUAUCUCUGUCUCUAUUUUUAUCUAUACAAAUAGCCUUUUUAAGCCAACAGUUCAUACGAAGACAUGGGAAGCAUGUGCAUCAAAUCUGCAGAUGACUCAACGCUGGAGGGGAUGAGAGAAUUAAGGUUCAAGAUGAGCUCGACAGUCGAGAAUGCUGGGUCAAAAGCAACCAGAUGAAAUUUAACAU
rnacentral:lncRNA from 12 species